CAGUAGCCGCGGUAAUACGAAGGGUGCAAGCGUUACUCGGAAUUACUGGGCGUAAAGCGUGCGUAGGUGGUGGUUUAAGUCCGUUGUGAAAGCCCUGGGCUCAACCUGGGAAUUGCAGUGGAUACUGGGUCACUAGAGUGUGGUAGAGGAUAGUGGAAUUUCCGGUGUAGCAGUGAAAUGCGUAGAGAUCGGAAGGAACAUCUGUGGCGAAGGCGGCCAUCUGGGACAACACUGACGCUGGAGCACGAAAGCGUGGGGAGCAAACAGGAUUAGAUACCCGAGUAGUCCCUGUCUCUUAUAC
rnacentral:rRNA from 1 species